rnacentral:rRNA from 1 species
UACGUAGGGUGCAAGCGUUGUCCGGAAUUAUUGGGCGUAAAGAGCUCGUAGGCGGUUCGUCACGUCGGCUGUGAAAUCCCGAGGCUCAACCUCGGGUCUGCAGUCGAUACGGGCGGACUGGAGUACUGCAGGGGAGACUGGAAUUCCUGGUGUAGCGGUGAAAUGCGUAGAUAUCAGGAGGAACACCGGUGGCGAAGGCGGCUACCUGGACAGAGUCUGACGCUGAGGCACGAAAGCUAGGGGAGCAAACAGG